rnacentral:rRNA from 1 species
AUAACCUGCCCUUGGGUCCGGCAUAACCCCGGGAAACUGGGGAUAAUUCCGGAUAACGCACAUAUGCUGGAAUGCUUUAUGCGUAAAAUGGAUUCGUCUGCCCAAGGAUGGGUCUGCGGCCUAUCAGGUAGUAGUGGGUGUAAUGUACCUACUAGCCUACAACGGGUACGGGUUGUGAGAGCAAGAGCCCGGAGAUGAAUUCUGAGACAUGAAUCCAGGCCCUACGGGGCGCAGCAGGCGCGAAAACUUUACAAUGCGGGAAACCGUGAUAAGGGGACACCGAGUGCUAGCAUCAUAUGCUGGCUGUCCAGGUGUGUAAAAUACACUUGUUAGCAAGGGCCGGGCAAGACCGGUGCCAGCCGCCGCGGUAACACCGGCGGCCCGAGUGGUGAUCGUGAUUAUUGGGUCUAAAGGGUCCGUAGCCGGUUUGGUCAGUCCUCCGGGAAAUCUGAUAGCUCAACUAUUAGGCUUUCGGGGGAUACUGCCAGACUUGGAACCGGGAGAGGUAAGAGGUACUACAGGGGUAGGAGUGAAAUCUUGUAAUCCCUGUGGGACCACCUGUGGCGAAGGCGUCUUACCAGAACGGGUUCGACGGUGAGGGACGAAAGCUGGGGGCACGAACCGGAUUAGAUACCCGGGUAGUCCCAGCCGUAAACGAUGCUCGCUAGGUGUCAGGCAUGGCGCGACCGUGUCUGGUGCCGCAGGGAAGCCGUGAAGCGAGCCACCUGGGAAGUACGGCCGCAAGGUGAAACUUAA